rnacentral:rRNA from 1 species
AGUGAACGCUGGCGGUAGGCCUAACACAUGCAAGUCGAACGGCAGCACAGUAAGAGCUUGCUCUUACGGGUGGCGAGUGGCGGACGGGUGAGGAAUACAUCGGAAUCUACUUUUUCGUGGGGGAUAACGUAGGGAAACUUACGCUAAUACCGCAUACAACCUACGGGUGAAAGCAGGGGAUCUUCGGACCUUGCGCGAUUGAAUGAGCCGAUGUCGGAUUAGCUAGUUGGCGGGGUAAAGGCCCACCAAGGCGACGAUCCGUAGCUGGUCUGAGAGGAUGAUCAGCCACACUGGAACUGAGACACGGUCCAGACUCCUACGGGAGGCAGCAGUGGGGAAUACUGGACAAUGGGCGCAAGCCUGAUCCAGCCAUACCGCGUGGGUGAAGAAGGCCUUCGGGUUGUAAAGCCCUUUUGUUGGGAAAGAAAAGCAGCAGGUUAAUACCCCGCUGUUCUGACGGUACCCAAAGAAUAAGCACCGGCUAACUUCGUG